rnacentral:rRNA from 1 species
CCUACGGGAGGCAGCAGUGGGGAAUAUUGCACAAUGGAGGAAACUCUGAUGCAGCAACGCCGCGUGGGUGAAGAAGGCCUUUGGGUCGUAAAGCCCUUUCGAUUGGGAAGAAGGGUAGUGUGGCUAAUAUCCAUAUUACUUGACGGUACCUUUAUAAGAAGCACCGGCUAAUUUCGUGCCAGCAGCCGCGGUAAUACGAAAGGUGCAAGCGUUGUUCGGAAUGACUGGGCGUAAAGCGCGCGUAGGCGGGAUAAUAGGUCGAUUGUGAAAUCCCCGGGCUCAACCUGGGAACUGCAGUCGAAACCAUUAUUCUUGAAUAUCUGAGAGGGUGGGGGAAUACCUAGUGGAGCAGUGAAAUGCGUAGAGAUUAGGUGGAACACCGGAGGCGAAGGCGCCUGCCUGGCAGAAUAUUGACGCUGAGGCGCGAAAGCGUGGGUAGC